AUAGCUCCAGCAAAGCGACAAGAGAUAGAAAAGGUCAUGGAUGGUCUAAUUAAGGAAGGGAUAGUGGAGAAAUCAGAUAGUUCCUGGUCAGCUCCCGUCGUGUUAGUCCAGGAGAAGGAUGUGACCCAACGUUACUGUGUGGACUUCAGGGCUCUUAACAGUAUAACC